ACGAACGCUGGCGGCGUGCCUAAUACAUGCAAGUAGAACGCUGAAGAGAGGAGCUUGCUCUUCUUGGAUGAGUUGCGAACGGGUGAGUAACGCGUAGGUAACCUGCCUUGUAGCGGGGGAUAACUAUUGGAAACGAUAGCUAAUACCGCAUAACAAUGGAUGACACAUGUCAUUUAUUUGAAAGGGGCAAUUGCUCCACUACAAGAUGGACCUGCGUUGUAUUAGCUAGUAGGUGAGGUAACGGCUCACCUAGGCGACGAUACAUAGCCGACCUGAGAGGGUGAUCGGCCACACUGGGACUGAGACACGGCCCAGACUCCUACGGGAGGCAGCAGUAGGGAAUCUUCGGCAAUGGGGGCAACCCUGACCGAGCAACGCCGCGUGAGUGAAGAAGGUUUUCGGAUCGUAAAGCUCUGUUGUAAGUCAAGAACGAGUGUGAGAGUGGAAAGUUCACACUGUGACGGUAGCUUACCAGAAAGGGACGGCUAACUCCGUGCCAGCAGCCGCGGUAAUACGUAGGUCCCGAGCGUUGUCCGGAUUUAUUGGGCGUAAAGCGAGCGCAGGCGGUUUGAUAAGUCUGAAGUUAAAGGCUGUGGCUCAACCAUAGUUCGCUUUGGAAACUGUCAAACUUGAGUGCAGAAGGGGAGAGUGGAAUUCCAUGUGUAGCGGUGAAAUGCGUAGAUAUAUGGAGGAACACCGGUGGCGAAAGCGGCUCUCUGGUCUGUAACUGACGCUGAGGCUCGAAAGCGUGGGGAGCGAACAGGAUUAGAUACCCUGGUAGUCCACGCCGUAAACGAUGAGUGCUAGGUGUUGGAUCCUUUCCGGGAUUCAGUGCCGCAGCUAACGCAUUAAGCACUCCGCCUGGGGAGUACGACCGCAAGGUUGAAACUCAAAGGAAUUGACGGGGGCCCGCACAAGCGGUGGAGCAUGUGGUUUAAUUCGAAGCAACGCGAAGAACCUUACCAGGUCUUGACAUCCCGAUGCUAUUUCUAGAGAUAGAAAGUUACUUCGGUACAUCGGUGACAGGUGGUGCAUGGUUGUCGUCAGCUCGUGUCGUGAGAUGUUGGGUUAAGUCCCGCAACGAGCGCAACCCCUAUUGUUAGUUGCCAUCAUUCAGUUGGGCACUCUAGCGAGACUGCCGGUAAUAAACCGGAGGAAGGUGGGGAUGACGUCAAAUCAUCAUGCCCCUUAUGACCUGGGCUACACACGUGCUACAAUGGUUGGUACAACGAGUUGCGAGUCGGUGACGGCAAGCUAAUCUCUUAAAGCCAAUCUCAGUUCGGAUUGUAGGCUGCAACUCGCCUACAUGAAGUCGGAAUCGCUAGUAAUCGCGGAUCAGCACGCCGCGGUGAAUACGUUCCCGGGCCUUGUACACACCGCCCGUCACACCACGAGAGUUUGUAACACCCGAAGUCGGUGAGGUAACCUUUUGGAGCCAGCCGCCUAAGGUGGGAUAGAUGAUUGGGGUG
rnacentral:rRNA from 1 species